GUACACAGAUCAGUGGAUAUUUGACUGGUUUUGUCCGUCCUUCUGUUAGAUAUGAUACCAGUUUAGCUCAACCAGUGACCAAGCAAUGCUUCAUGUUGUUCAGUGUGUGUGUAAAAAGAG